rnacentral:rRNA from 1 species
GAUCCAGCCAUGCCGCGUGUGUGAAGAAGGUCUUCGGAUUGUAAAGCACUUUAAGUUGGGAGGAAGGGUUGUAGAUUAAUACUCUGCAAUUUUGACGUUACCGACAGAAUAAGCACCGGCUAACUCUGUGCCAGCAGCCGCGGUAAU